GAAUGAGAUCGACACCUUACCUAUCGGCACCCUUAGGAGCAUGUUCACCUACUUUUUGGACAUCACCCGAACACCAUCCCAAGCUCUGCUCAAUCUCUUGUCAAAACAACCCGCGUCAGAUGCCGACAAGGCGAAACUGGAAAAUCUGGCCAAGGACUCCAAUGCGUACGAGGACUGGAAGUUUUUGUACAGCGCGAACGUGUUAGAAGUCUUGGAGCAGUUCCCUUCACUCCAAGUGCCGCCAACGUUGUUGUUGUCCCCAGCUCCCAACACUGCAGCAGCGCUACUACAGCAUCAGCUCGUCAAAUAUGAUGCACGGUGGGGAGAUCCACGCCACAAUAGCUGUGGUCAGCUACAGGACACAAAAUGGCGCUGGGCCAGUCCAUGAGGGCGUGUGUUCUGGUUGGAUGAACAGAUGUCCAAUCGGCGUCAGAGUACCUUGUUUUAUUAGAACAGCCUUUUCAUUUCACAUGCCCGCAAAUCGUGCUCUGCCUAUCAUCAUGGUGGGUGCCGGCACGGGAAUCGCUCCUUUCAGAUCAUUCUGGCAGCAACGGAAGAUAGAUAUUGAGCUACACGAAGAUACCCAGGCGUUCGGUCCAAUGUCCCUGUUCUUUGGGUGCCGGGCUUCGGAUAAAGACAACAUCUAUGGCCGAGAGCUGGAAGAAAUGAAAACUGGCUGGAGUAAUGGACUACUCUUUGGCACUAUCUAGAGAGCCAGGAGUACCGAAGGUUUAUGUCCAAGAUAUGCUGCUAAGCAAAGCUUCAAUGGUCUACGACGCGCUUGUCAAGAAAAUACGGCCAUAUUUACGUUUGUGGAAACAUAACGAUGGCACAUGACGUCACUUGUACAGUGGCAACCAUCUUGCAACAGCAUGGUGGUAUGAAUCUAGAAGAGGCUAACGAGUACAUAGCAAGUCUUCUGGAUAGCAGCAGGUACCACGAAGACAUCUUUGGGGUCAAUGUCCGGAGAGUCGAGCAGAUCAAGGAGAGACCGGCAGAGCAAUCUUCCCUGGCGCUGGCCUUCUUAAGUUCCACCAAGGUGAAGAAAUCAAUGUGAGUCCAGACGAUAAAAUCGACGUCAUUUCCCCCCCCCCCCCCCCUUCCUUUGAAUUUUGAAUCAGAUACAGUUGCGUGAUGUCUGUUCUAUAAUUUUUUUAAUUUUUUAAUUUUUAACUAACGGCUACAUUUAAACACGUUUUUAAUUAUAUUUGUGAUGUUUUUUUAAUGUGUUAGUUAUUUCUCCUCUGUAUAAAUUUGUUCGGAAGCUGAUUAUGCCAAGGAUGAUACCUAAAAGAAUAUCUCGUCUGCUAAACUGGUAUCGGCAAUGUAUCGGAGGACUAUAUAUUAAUAUAUCAUUCUUUUACAUUUUUUUUUACAAGUUCCUAUUAAGUCAGUUUAAAAACGUUUAUAAAUGAGGCUCUUUAGGUUUGGUCAGUAGAGUCUGCUGUUGUUGUUUUUUUUUUUUUUUUGACAAAACAAGUUCCCAUUAAGACAGUACAAGAACGUUUAUAAAUGAUACUGUUUGAGUUUAGUAAAUAAAGCCUGU